rnacentral:rRNA from 1 species
GACGAACCACACAAACGUUAUUCGGAAUUACUGGGCUUAAAGGGUGCGUAGGCGGCGCGGAAAGUUGGGUGUGAAAUCCCUCGGCUCAACCGAGGAACUGCGCUCAAUACUACCGUGCUCGAGGGAGACAGAGGUGAGCGGAACUUAGGGAGGAGCGGUGAAAUGCGUUGAUAUCCUAAGGAACACCCGUGGCGAAAGCGGCUCACUGGACCAUAACUGACGCUGAUGCACGAAAGCUAGGGGAGCAAACAGG